rnacentral:lncRNA from 1 species
GCAUUUUUUAUAUACUGAUCAAAAUUAUCAAAAAAUAAACAAUAUACCUAGAAUUAGAAUAAGAGUAGAAUUCGAACCAAUGAUCUUUUAUUUGAAUAGCAAACUCUUAACCAUCAACCUAUAACUUAUAUUAUUAAUAUAUUAGUAUAGUUUAUUUAACUUAUUAAUAUAUAUUCACGUCAUUAAAUAAGUAAUGUUAAGAAUAUAUAUGUAUAAUAAUAUAUUUUAUG